AGGGGUAUAGUUCUUCGGAAUUAGAGACCGGCGCACGGGUGCGUAACGCGUAUGCAAUCUACCUUUUACAGAGGGAUAGCCCAGAGAAAUUUGGAUUAAUACCUCAUAGCAUAGCAACUUCGCAUGAAGUCACUAUUAAAGUCACAACGGUAAAAGAUGAGCAUGCGUCCCAUUAGCUAGUUGGUAAGGUAACGGCUUACCAAGGCUACGAUGGGUAGGGGUCCUGAGAGGGAGAUCCCCCACACUGGUACUGAGACACGGACCAGACUCCUACGGGAGGCAGCAGUGAGGAAUAUUGGUCAAUGGACGCAAGUCUGAACCAGCCAUGCCGCGUGCAGGAUGACGGUCCUAUGGAUUGUAAACUGCUUUUGUACGAGAAGAAACACUGCUUCGUGAAGCAGCUUGACGGUAUCGUAAGAAUAAGGAUCGGCUAACUCCGUGCCAGCAGCCGCGGUAAUACGGAGGAUCCAAGCGUUAUCCGGAAUCAUUGGGUUUAAAGGGUCCGUAGGCGGUUUAGUAAGUCAGUGGUGAAAGCCCAUCGCUCAACGGUGGAACGGCCAUUGAUACUGCUAGACUUGAAUUAUUAGGAAGUAACUAGAAUAUGUAGUGUAGCGGUGAAAUGCUUAGAGAU
rnacentral:rRNA from 1 species